AUACGGAGGGUGCAAGCGUUACUCGGAAUCACUGGGCGUAAAGCGCGCGCAGGCGGGCUGAUAAGUUGGAUGUGAAAGCCUACGGCUCAACCGUAGAACUGCAUCCAAAACUGUCAGUCUAGAGUGUGGGAGAGGAAGAUGGAAUUAGUUGCGUAGGGGUAAAAUCCGUAGAGAUAACUAGGAAUACCAAAAGCGAAGGCAAUCUUCUGGAACACUACUGACGCUGAGGCGCGAAGGCGUGGGGAGCAAACAGGAUUAGAUACCCCAGUAGUCC
rnacentral:rRNA from 1 species